rnacentral:rRNA from 1 species
UGGGGAAUUUUGGACAAUGGGCGAAAGCCUGAUCCAGCAAUGCCGCGUGUGUGAAGAAGGCCUUCGGGUUGUAAAGCACUUUUGUCCGGAAAGAAAUCCUUGGCUCUAAUACAGCCGGGGGAUGACGGUACCAGAAGAAUAAGCACCGGCUAACUACGUGCCAGCAGCCGCGGUAAUACGUAGGGUGCAAGCGUUAAUCGGAAUUACUGGGCGUAAAGCGUGCGCAGGCGGUUUGCUAAGACCGAUGUGAAAUCCCCGGGCUCAACCUGGGAACUGCAUUGGUGACUGGCAGGCUAGAGUAUGGCAGAGGGGGGUAGAAUUCCACGUGUAGCAGUGAAAGUGCGUAGAGAUGUGGAGGAAUACCGAUGGCGAAGGCAGCCCCCCUGGGCCAAAUACUGACGCUCAUGCACGAAAGCGUGGGGAGCAAACAGGAUUAGAUACCCUGGUAGUCCACGCCCUAAACGAUGUCAACUAGUUGUGGGGAUUCAUUUCCUUAGUAACGUAGCUAACGCGUGAAGUUGACCGCCUGGGGAGUACGGUCGCAAGAUUAAAACUCAAAUGAAUUGACGGGGUCAUAGCUGUUUCCU